UCAGGUCUGGAGUUGAAGAUGUUUAGCAGACAUUGGCUGAAACACCGAGUCAGACUCUAAAGCUGUAGCGAGUUCAGGCCACACAAUAGCAGAAACCGACCACGAGCCAUCAUUGCAGGCGCUAGGUCGCUGGUUCAGGUAACCAACUCCUAUUUUCUCAACCGUUGAACAUACAGUUCCUAGGAAAGGAGCACCAAAUCCAAAAUCCAAUUCAGCCACAGGGAACCGUCGUCCUGAAGACAAGACCAAAGCUGGUCCUUCUUGUCCGAGAACCACCCGAGCCAACAUCAGUCCAGAUUUUCGAUACUGGCUUCACCUACAGCUAUAGACAAUACGUUUCCUAUGUAGCUCGAGGUAACGGUCUCAAGUCUUCCUCUACCGUCGACAAGCCAUCCCAUCUUGCAGGUUUUAUGACCGCUCUCUAUAGAAUCCACCAUUUUCUUCCACACAUAAGCGGAGAAAGCUUCAAUCUUUGUCCUGCUCUCUCCGUUUACAGUAGCUAGAGCUUGCAACGCGUCUAGGCUCGAAGCACCGAUGUGGUAGAGACGCUUGAUGAGCGUUUUAGACAUCGGUAUGUUCUUAAUGUCUUCCUCACUGCAUUUUAUGAAAGUUUUGUCCAAGUGAGGGUCAUAACGUGGAGGAGAGCGUGCCCGGAGGAGGUUUCUCCUGUGAUCUGGUACACAAGAAACCGGCUUAUUUCUCGAUAUCUCUGACCACAAAGUGAGGAAUUUCCCGAAGGAGCUCGCGUCUCCUAAAGCAUGAUCAAACGUGAAUGUUAAAGCGAGGCCUCCACAUUCGAACUCUGUCGCUUGAAUCUGUAAAGAGAAAUCCGGGUUAACCUGUACCAGCUUUGAUUGGAGAAACGCAUCAAGAUUGUAAAAAUCUAAACUCUUGAGAUCGACAUGAGCUCGGGCUUCAACGAACAAAGCUCCAUUGUUGUUACAGAUGAUCAUAGGCUCUUCUUGUGAUGUUUCAUUGGGAACAAUCUGACCCGCGAAAGGAUAGAAGUAGCUGAGAGUUUGAGAGAGAGAGCUUUGGAGGGAUUUGACGAUUGUUUCAAAGGAUAAUUGUGGUUGCUUGGGGUAGAAGUAAAAGUAGGUCACCGGAAAACGGCCGGAAAGAAGGUCAAAAUUUGAGAGAUUAAGGCUAUUAACUUUCUCCGGUUGGUCGCCAGAAGCUUUGACUAUGAACUCUCCGGUGAAACUAACAUCAAAGAUUUU